ACCCAUCGGUUUCUGUCUCCCCCCCUUCAACAAAAAUCCCCAAAUCAGGUAUGGAAACCCUAGAUCUCCUUCUCUCCCUCAUUCUCGGCUCCUCUUGGCGGUGCUAUAUCGCCGCCUCCGUCGCGCUCCCUCCGUCGCGUUUCCCUCACGGCUCACCACCAGCCGCCGUCUUCCUCGCAAGGCAGCGCCACCAUUGCCGCCUCCGUCGCGGCGUCAAGUUCGGGACCGGUGAGUAGCAUCGCCGGCUUCUCCCAUCCCCUCACAGCGUGGGUCCCUCCGAGCUACCCGGGGGUCGGUCGCUGUCAGAGCUGCCGCAACCCUGCCCCGCGAGCCACGUCGUUUCGCCGGCCAGAAGCUAAGUCUCUACCCUCUCCCUCUUAUUUUAUUGUUUAAGCACGAAAACUAAAUCACAGGAAACUGAUCUGUGCCCUAAAUCCUUUAAUUACUAGUGUCUUAGAGGUGUUGUUGUUGAUGUGAUCUAAAGCUUGAGAGGAAGUAGAGUUUUGUUCUUCUGUUCCAACUUCAAAAUUGAACUACAGCAUGCUUGGUCUUCAAGUUCUACUGUUCUUAUAUUUAUUUGAAGUGUUGGUGUUCUAACAUUCUUGAGGUUUGGUUGCUACAAGAUAUCCUUGUGCUUAGGCAUGCUUGUGUAGUGGUGUUCUACUGGGAUGAAAAGGAGUUACAAGUAGGGUUGUGUGAGUUACCUGCUGUGGUGAAGAGCUGGGAGAGAAACUGAUGUGCUCUUGCUAGCUUAGUCCACUCACUGCCCUUUCCUCAAGAAACUCAACCUCUCUCGUUUUUUUUUUGACUGAGGUGUUGGUAAGGAGUGAGACUAAGGGGAGACAUAUAUAUAUAGGCAUUUGUGUAACUGGAAAUCUGCAAGGCAGAUUGUGCAGGGGUGAAUCUGAUACUUUGAGCGAUGUGUUGUCUUCUCUUUCAUAGUCUACUUGAAACUCUUUUGCCCAUAUUGGGUAUAUGGUCUUGACUCAUUUAUGGGAUGUUUGGAAGGUUGUGUGAGGCUGUACAAGUGAUGUACUCGUGAAUCAUUAAAUGGGUUGAACUCCUCUCUUGUUUUCUUAUUGCAGCAACAUCCCUUUUUGAUUAGCUUCCUCCUACUUGGUUGAUUUGAUUUGUCUACAUUUAGGGUACAUGUACUCUUGUGUUUAAACACUUUGUUUGAUUGUUGCAUGUAGUACUUGGAGAGAAGGCAGGGGCUGUUGGGAGAGGAUUUGAGGAGUUGACCAAGCCUUUUUAGGUAAAUCUUGGUCCUCUCUUUCCUAAAGUGUUGCUGCCCUAUGGCCUUAGGAUAAGGCAGAAGAGAGAGAGAUAGGCUGCUACUCUGGCUGACUUUCGGGCUAAACUCCGGUUGUGCACGGUGUGGUUUGGACUUGCAAAGAAAGGCCCAACAUUUGUAUAUUUGUGUUCUUAAAUUCCUUCCCAAAUUAAAGGGGUAGCUUGAUAUAUAUAUAUAUAUAUAUAUGGGUGCAUUAUAAUGAUAAACCCAAUUUGUGUGAUAA